CUAUAAAACUCUCUUCAUAAAAUUUCUACUCAAUUUUUCUUUCUCUAAAAUCUCUACACAUUUUCUUCAUCUUUUUAAUACAUAAUUUUCCAUCUUUUUUUUCCUUUUUCUUUAGUUUGCUUCUCUACCUUUGGUGUGCCAUUACUUCGAGGUGUGCCAUUCCUUUAACUGAAACCCAUCACCAUUGAUCAAUUCGAAGGCCUAAAGGCCUCCUUUGCUAGUCACCUAGCCUUUCACGCGAGUUUUCGCUCUUUUCGGUGUUGCCCAAUGCCAUUUAGAUACUCUACUACUUUUUCUUUAAUCUCAUAUCAUUUUAGCUAUUUCUUGGUUUAAUAAACAUUUCUUGGCAAAAUAAGUAUUGGGUCUUGUUUGGCCAUUGUCAAUUUGUUGAGAAUUUAAAGGAAUUUAAGAAAAUUCAAAAGAAAUAGUAGGUACCUUGAAUUUUGCUAUUUUGAGAAUGAAUUUGGUAUCUUUGUGUGCUUUAAGGUUUAUUUGUAUGCUUGGGAUGUAAUGGAUACUCUGUUCAUGUUGCGUUUAUCUCUAGAUUUUGUAUUGUGAAAGCAUCGUUCAUCGCACCUGACACAACACCUGCUAUCUUAUUUGGUAUUGUACUUGGUAUUGUGCUACCACAACAUCUGUUGCAGCACUUGGUAUAGCACCUGCUGUGGCACCCAGUACGACACCUGUUGCGACACCUACUAUCAAUAUUAGUGUGGCCCUUCCCCUGGUCAUAGCUCCUCUAGGCACCUUUGUACCAGGGCUUUAGUGCUUCUUACGUACUAAAGGGAGACUCCAUCAAAACUUUCCCUUGACUAGGUACUGCAAUCUUUACGUGGAGGAUAUGAGCACUUCCCCUAUCAUGUGCCGGUACCACCUUUCUCCUUUGGAAAUACUAGGAAGCUAUCUAUGUAGCCUUGUUCCAGAGCUACUAAUUGACUUUAAGCUUCAUCCAAGCAUUUUCUACAUGUUGUAGUCAUAUAUUUUGAUGUAAUAAGUUUAGAACACAUGUAAAUAAUUAGAUAUUUGUUGAACAAUAAGUCAUGUUUUGGCUUUCAUUUGCAA